rnacentral:rRNA from 1 species
AACCAGCUCUUCAAGUGGUCGGGAUGAUUAUUGGGCUUAAAGUGUCCGUAGCCGGUUUAGUAAGUUCCUGGUAAAAUCAGGUAGCUUAACUAUCUGUAUGCUAGGAAUACUGCUAUACUAGAGGGCGGGAGAGGUCUGAGGUACUACAGGGGUAGGGGUGAAAUCUUAUAAUCCUUGUAGGACCACCAGUGGCGAAGGCGUCAGACUGGAACGUGCCUGACGGUGAGGGACGAAAGCCAGGGGAGCGAACCGGAUUAGAUACCCGGGUAGUCCUGGCCGUAAACGAUGCAUACUAGGUGAUGGCCCGGCCAUGAGCCGUGUCAGUGCCGUAGGGAACCGUUAAGUGUGCCGCCUGGGAAGUACGGUCGCAAGGCUAAAACUUAAGGAAUUGGCGGGGGAGCACCGACAAGGGGUGAAGCUGCGGUUC